AAACCAAAAUGUGACCUCAGUAGAAAAUCUGUUCACUUUCUGCUUUUGCUGCCAGAUUCAUUUGGCAUACAUUUCACCUACUUAAAAACAGAUAUGUUACAUAAUGUAAGACAAAUAAUCUGAGAGGAGUAGUAAAGUCAAUUUGUCGUUUAAAUCUACAUUUCUGGCCGUAGUGUUUCAGCUCUGAUGGUAGAAUGUCAGUGUGAAUUGUAAGAAAGGUAGAGACCAUAAAGGAGAUUCAUAUCUUUUCUUGUAAUUUUACAUCUGGCGCCUCUGUUCCUCUUCUCUUCACUGAUUUAUUGUCAACAUGUUUUUAUUUCUUGUCCCUCCUCCUCGUCAUCUGCUUUCACAUGUCAUUUUCUUAUCCUCCCCUUCCUUCUUUGUCUCACUUUCUCUGUCACUGCUCUCUUUCCUGUGGUGCACUGACAAUGUCGCGAUGGUGCCCGCGCUGAAAAUGACACCAUCACGUCUUCGUCACUUGUCGGUCAGAGUUUAACGGAUUCCCCGGUUCUAGAAGACCUGGGAAAGGUCUUGGAUGGUAAAAUACGGUGCAGCGCUUUCACAUAACAUGCGCUUUGAUUGGCUACCGAGACGUCCUUCGGGUUCGGCAGGAACAGACAGGGACAAACUUCUGGAUUUUUGAAGAAAACUUGGCAGCAAAGGAAACUGAAAAGACAAGAAGAGACCGAGAGAAAGCGAGGAGGUGAUGAUGAAGAGGAGAGAGGAAGAGCAGGUACUGCUCUUUGUCAUUAAGGAGACAUAUUGAUGGAGGAAAAGGUGGAGACACACUGACGGGGAAGAAGAAGGGGCCCAGGAUCCCUGUGGGACUCCAUGCCUGUUACGGAUUAGCUGAUGACUAAAAAAGACU